rnacentral:rRNA from 1 species
UAGGGAAUCUUCGGCAAUGGACGAAAGUCUGACCGAGCAACGCCGCGUGAGUGAAGAAGGUUUUCGGAUCGUAAAACUCUGUUGUUAGAGAAGAACAAGGACGUUAGUAACUGAACGUCCCCUGACGGUAUCUAACCAGAAAGCCACGGCUAACUACGUGCCAGCAGCCGCGGUAAUACGUAGGUGGCAAGCGUUGUCCGGAUUUAUUGGGCGUAAAGCGAGCGCAGGCGGUUUCUUAAGUCUGAUGUGAAAGCCCCCGGCUCAACCGGGGAGGGUCAUUGGAAACUGGGAGGCUUGAGUGCAGAAGAGGAGAGUGGAAUUCCAUGUGUAGCGGUGAAAUGCGUAGAUAUAUGCAGGAACACCAGUGGCGAAGGAGGCUCUCUGGUCUGUAACUGACGCUGAGGCUCGAAAGCGUGGGGAGCAAACAGG